GCCCCCGUAUCCCAACCGGCAGAGGAGACCGUCUUAAAAACGGUCAGUUGUGAGUUCGAGUCUCACCGGGGGCA
rnacentral:tRNA from 1 species